GAUGAACGCUGGCGGCGUGCCUAAUACAUGCAAGUCGAGCGAACGGACGAGAAGCUUGCUUUUCUGAUGUUAGCGGCGGACGGGUGAGUAACACGUGGAUAACCUACCUAUAAGACUGGGAUAACUUCGGGAAACCGGAGCUAAUACCGGAUAAUAUUUUGAUCCGCAUGGUUCAAAAGUAAAAGACGGUCUUGCUGUCGGUUGUGGAUGGAUCCGCGCUGCAUUAGCUAGUUGGUAAGGUCGCGGCUUACCACGGCAACGAUGCAUAGCCGGCCUGAGAGGGGGAACGGCGACCUUGGGCCUGAGGGACGGGCCAGACGUCUACGGGAGGCAGCGGUGGGAAAUAUUGCGGAAUAGGCGGAAGCGUGAUGCAGCGACGCCGGGUGCGGAAUGCCGGCUUUUGGGGUAUAAACAGCUUUCGACUGAGACGAAGCGUGAGUGACGGUAAUGGGUAAAGAAGCACCGGCUAACUACGUG
rnacentral:rRNA from 1 species